CAUCGUCUGCCGCUAGUCAAGGCUUUCUAUCGUCUGCCGCCAGUCAAUGUCCACAUGUGAAGUUCAUGCCCCAUAAACCAAGUAUAGGCUCUUGGUUCUAUCUGCUUGAUCGCUUCCAUACGCCUAGUGAAUUUGCAUUGCUGGUGCUCUAUUGCAGCCAUCCACAUUAAGUCAUUCAAGGUCUUGUCAGAAAAUUUCUUCUGAAAAUUGGCCUUUAGGUGCCGCACACAGUAACGGUGGUAUGUAUAUGGUUCAUGCCAUGCAGGCAAGUGAUGCACAGAACAUAAAAUACCACCAUGCCGAUCAGAUAUUAGACAAAUACCUGAACGUUGUUUGACAACGUGCUGCUUCAAGUGGUUCAAAAGAAGUGUCCACGUCUCUUCGCUUUCGUUGGCACAUAUGGCAAAGGCUAACGGAAAUAUUUGGCCGUUGUCAUCUACAUCAACUGCAAUCAAAAGCUUAAUAUCAUACU
rnacentral:lncRNA from 1 species